rnacentral:rRNA from 1 species
GACUACUGGGGGCAGCAGUGAGGAAUAUUGGUCAAUGGGCGAGAGCCUGAACCAGCCAAGUCGCGUGAAGGAUGAAGGAUCUAUGGUUUGUAAACUUCUUUUAUAUGGGAAUAAAGUGAGGAACGUGUUCCUUUUUGUAUGUACCAUAUGAAUAAGCAUCGGCUAACUCCGUGCCAGCAGCCGCGGUAAUACGGAGGAUGCGAGCGUUAUCCGGAUUUAUUGGGUUUAAAGGGUGCGUAGGUGGUUAAUUAAGUCAGCGGUGAAAGUUUGUGGCUCAACCAUAAAAUUGCCGUUGAAACUGGUUUUCUAGAGUUGGAGAGAAGUAUGCGGAAUUCGUGGUGUAGCGGUGAAAUGCAUAGAUAUCACGAAGAACUCCGAUUGCGAAGGCAGCAUACCGGCUCCAUACUGACGCUGAGGCACGAAAGCGUGGGGAUCGAACAGGAUUAGAUACACCUGUAGUC